AGAAAAGGUACAUAGAAAACCUUUAUUCCACAUGCCCAUGAUAUGUAACAGUAUUGAGCUCAAAAGUACUUGUAAAACUUUUAUUUCACAGGGAAAAUAUAUGAAACAGUAUAGAACUAGCUGCCAGUUCGUGGGAAUCACGAACUGGCCAAACGACGUGGCCGACGUGAAUCUCGCGAGUGCCGCGAGAUUCAAGAUGGCCGCCGUUCGCACGCACAAGUGCCGUGCGGCCCGCGAUCGAGG